UACCAGACUCCUACGGGAGGCAGCAGUGGGGGAUAUUGCACAAUGGGGGGAACCCUGAUGCAGCGACGCCGCGUGGGUGAAGGAGCGUUUCGGCGCGUAAAGCCCUAUCGGCAGGGAAGAAGGAGGACGGUACCUGACUAAGAAGCCCCGACUAACUACGUGCCAGCAGCCGCGGUAAUACGUAGGGGGCAAGCGUUAUCCGGAUUCACUGGGUGUAAAGGGAGCGUAGACGGCGACGCAAGUCUGGAGUGAAAGCCCGGGGCCCAACCCCGGGACUGCUCUGGAAACUGCGGCGCUGGAGUACGGGAGGGGCAGGCGGAAUUCCUGGUGUAGCGGUGAAAUGCGUAGAUAUUAGGAGGAACACCAGUGGCGAAGGCGGUCUGCUGGACAGCAACUGACGGUGAGGCGCGAAAGCGUGGGGAGCAAACAGGAUUAGAUACCCCAGUAGG
rnacentral:rRNA from 1 species